rnacentral:ncRNA from 2 species
CUCUCAUCAAGAGAGGUGGAGGGACACGGCCCGACGAAGCCCGGCAACCCGCUUAACUUGUUUUGUAUUCAUGAGUAAUGAGGCAAGACGAGGGAGAAGGGUGCCAAUUCCGGCGGACUUUUUAUAGCCGCAAGAUGAGGG